GGGGUAGCGCAGGAUCCUGGGCUGUGUCUCCCCACACCUUGGGCUCCCCGGCCUGCGCUGCUGGAAUCGAUCCCGGGCCGCGCAGCCCCCU
rnacentral:pre_miRNA from 1 species